rnacentral:rRNA from 1 species
CUAAGUACCCCGAGGAAAAGAAAUCAACCGAGAUUCCCCCAGUAGCGGCGAGCGAACGGGGAGCAGCCCAGAGCCUGAAUCAGUGUGUGUGUUAGUGGAAGCGUCUGGAAAGGCGCGCGAUACAGGGUGACAGCCCCGUACACAAAAAUGCACAUGCUGUGAGCUCGAUGAGUAGGGCGGGACACGUGGUAUCCUGUCUGAAUAUGGGGGGACCAUCCUCCAAGGCUAAAUACUCCUGACUGACCGAUAGUGAACCAGUACCGUGAGGGAAAGGCGAAAAGAACCCCGGCGAGGGGAGUGAAAAAGAACCUGAAACCGUGUACGUACAAGCAGUGGGAGCACGCUUAGGCGUGUGACUGCGUACCUUUUGUAUAAUGGGUCAGCGACUUAUAUUCUGUAGCAAGGUUAACCGAAUAGGGGAGCCGAAGGGAAACCGAGUCUUAACUGGGCGUUAAGUUGCAGGGUAUAGACCCGAAACCCGGUGAUCUAGCCAUGGGCAGGUUGAAGGUUGGGUAACACUAACUGGAGGACCGAACCGACUAAUGUUGAAAAAUUAGCGGAUGACUUGUGGCUGGGGGUGAAAGGCCAAUCAAACCGGGAGAUAGCUGGUUCUCCCCGAAAGCUAUUUAGGUAGCGCCUCGUGAAUUCAUCUCCGGGGGUAGAGCACUGUUUCGGCAAGGGGGUCAUCCCGACUUACCAACCCGAUGCAAACUGCGAAUACCGGAGAAUGUUAUCACGGGAGACACACGGCGGGUGCUAACGUCCGUCGUGAAGAGGGAAACAACCCAGACCGCCAGCUAAGGUCCCAAAGUCAUGGUUAAGUGGGAAACGAUGUGGGAAGGCCCAGACAGCCAGGAUGUUGGCUUAGAAGCAGCCAUCAUUUAAAGAAAGCGUAAUAGCUCACUGGUCGAGUCGGCCUGCGCGGAAGAUGUAACGGGGCUAAACCAUGCACCGAAGCUGCGGCAGCGACACUAUGUGUUGUUGGGUAGGGGAGCGUUCUGUAAGCCUGUGAAGGUGUACUGUGAGGUAUGCUGGAGGUAUCAGAAGUGCGAAUGCUGACAUAAGUAACGAUAAAGCGGGUGAAAAGCCCGCUCGCCGGAAGACCAAGGGUUCCUGUCCAACGUUAAUCGGGGCAGGGUGAGUCGACCCCUAAGGCGAGGCCGAAAGGCGUAGUCGAUGGGAAACAGGUUAAUAUUCCUGUACUUGGUGUUACUGCGAAGGGGGGACGGAGAAGGCUAUGUUGGCCGGGCGACGGUUGUCCCGGUUUAAGCGUGUAGGCUGGUUUUCCAGGCAAAUCCGGAAAAUCAAGGCUGAGGCGUGAUGACGAGGCACUACGGUGCUGAAGCAACAAAUGCCCUGCUUCCAGGAAAAGCCUCUAAGCAUCAGGUAACAUCAAAUCGUACCCCAAACCGACACAGGUGGUCAGGUAGAGAAUACCAAGGCGCUUGAGAGAACUCGGGUGAAGGAACUAGGCAAAAUGGUGCCGUAACUUCGGGAGAAGGCACGCUGAUAUGUAGGUGAAGUCCCUCGCGGAUGGAGCUGAAAUCAGUCGAAGAUACCAGCUGGCUGCAACUGUUUAUUAAAAACACAGCACUGUGCAAACACGAAAGUGGACGUAUACGGUGUGACGCCUGCCCGGUGCCGGAAGGUUAAUUGAUGGGGUCAGCGCAAGCGAAGCUCUUGAUCGAAGCCCCGGUAAACGGCGGCCGUAACUAUAACGGUCCUAAGGUAGCGAAAUUCCUUGUCGGGUAAGUUCCGACCUGCACGAAUGGCGUAAUGAUGGCCAGGCUGUCUCCACCCGAGACUCAGUGAAAUUGAACUCGCUGUGAAGAUGCAGUGUACCCGCGGCAAGACGGAAAGACCCCGUGAACCUUUACUAUAGCUUGACACUGAACAUUGAGCCUUGAUGUGUAGGAUAGGUGGGAGGCUUUGAAGUGUGGACGCCAGUCUGCAUGGAGCCGACCUUGAAAUACCACCCUUUAAUGUUUGAUGUUCUAACGUGGACCCGUAAUCCGGGUUGCGGACAGUGUCUGGUGGGUAGUUUGACUGGGGCGGUCUCCUCCUAAAGAGUAACGGAGGAGCACGAAGGUUGGCUAAUCCUGGUCGGACAUCAGGAGGUUAGUGCAAUGGCAUAAGCCAGCUUGACUGCGAGCGUGACGGCGCGAGCAGGUGCGAAAGCAGGUCAUAGUGAUCCGGUGGUUCUGAAUGGAAGGGCCAUCGCUCAACGGAUAAAAGGUACUCCGGGGAUAACAGGCUGAUACCGCCCAAGAGUUCAUAUCGACGGCGGUGUUUGGCACCUCGAUGUCGGCUCAUCACAUCCUGGGGCUGAAGUAGGUCCCAAGGGUAUGGCUGUUCGCCAUUUAAAGUGGUACGCGAGCUGGGUUUAGAACGUCGUGAGACAGUUCGGUCCCUAUCUGCCGUGGGCGCUGGAGAACUGAGGGGGGCUGCUCCUAGUACGAGAGGACCGGAGUGGACGCAUCACUGGUGUUCGGGUUGUCAUGCCAAUGGCACUGCCCGGUAGCUAAAUGCGGAAGAGAUAAGUGCUGAAAGCAUCUAAGCACGAAACUUGCCCCGAGAUGAGUUCUCCCUGACUCCUUGAGAGUCCUGAAGGAACGUUGAAGACGACGACGUUGAUAGGCCGGGUGUGUAAGCGCAGCGAUGCGUUGAGCUAACCGGUACUAAUGAACCGUGAGGCUUAACCUUACAACGCCGAAG